GAUGAACGCUGACAGAAUGCCUAAUACAUGCAAGUCGAUGGGGAAGUGGUGCUUGUACCAUCGCCACCAUGGCGGACGGAUGAGUAAGGAGUACGUGACUUACCUGCCGGACAGGGUUAACUAAGGGAAAGAAAUGACAACUAAGGACAAUGAAUUGGAGCUGCAUGGUUUUAUGAUGAAAGGAGACGCUUGUGCAGAGACUUGCGUACUAUUAGCCAGUUGGUGAGGUAAUGGCUAACCAAGGCGAAGAUAAGUAGCCGGCCCGAGAGGAUGGACGGCCACAAGUCGACUGAGAGACGGCACUUGCUACUACGGGAGGCAGCAGUGAUGAAUAACGGACAAAGGGGGCAAGCCUGAUGCAGCAAUUCUGUGUGCACGAAGAAGUUAUUCGGAUUGAAAAGUGCUUUCAGCAAGUAUGAAGUAAGUGACGGUACCUACACAAAAAGCGACGGCUAAAUACGUG
rnacentral:rRNA from 1 species